rnacentral:misc_RNA from 1 species
AACGCACAUUGCGCCCGCUGGUAUUCCGGCGGGCAUGCCUGUUCGAGCGUCAUUACAACCCUCAAGCUCUGCUUGGUAUUGGGCCUCACCCGUCAGGGCGUGCCUUAAAAUCAGUGGCGGUGCCAUCUGGCUCUAAGCGUAGUAAUUCUCUCGCUAUAGGGUCCUGUGGACGCUUGCCAGCAACCCCAAAUUUUUCUAUGGUUGACCUCGGAUCAGGUAGGGAUACCCGCUGAACUUAA